UACGGGGGGGAGCAAGCGUUGUUCGGAUUUACUGGGCGUAAAGGGCGCGUAGGCGGCCAGCACAAGUCAGUUGUGAAAUCUCCGAGCUUAACUCGGAAAGGUCAACUGAUACUGUGCGGCUAGAGUGCGGAAGGGGCAACUGGAAUUCUUGGUGUAGCGGUGAAAUGCGUAGAUAUCAAGAGGAACACCUGCGGCGAAGGCGGGUUGCUGGGCCGACACUGACGCUGAUGCGCGAAAGCUAGGGGAGCGAACGGG
rnacentral:rRNA from 1 species